GUGUUUGUAGGUCAGUGACAGAGUGCUUGCCUAGUAUGUAUGAGACACUGGGUUCGAUCCUCAGCACCACA
rnacentral:tRNA from 1 species